GGGGGGUCAUUUAGAAACUUAAAACUUACACCAAAGAAAACAUAAUUUUUAGUUUUCCAGCGUCAUGGAGUCCUACUGAAACAGAGUAAGUGGAGUCCUACUGAAACAAUAAAUUCCCCAACAACAAAGUAAUCUUCUAAAUUUCAUCCAACACAAAAGUAAGACUGUAACAAUAAUUCCAAAGGUAAAGACACUCUUAGUGGGAAAUAAUACUCAAAAAAUUGCUUUACCUCAAAGAAAAAAGAUCUGUAAAGCAGUGGAGAGGUCACUUUCUUGCAGUCUGUUUCUGGAAUGUGGACAUCAACCAUACACAGACACCCUCCUUCCCCAGGACAUCCUGACUACACACAAUAGCUACUGACAACAAUUGAAUGAACCGUGGUCCUUAUUUGCAAGCAUGGAAAUUUUACUAUCUAUAGACACUAAUUACUCUAACUUACAUUAAAUUGCACUUAUAGACAAUCUAUUUUAAAACAAAUUUGGUUACUAAGCAUUUUUAAGAGUCACAACAGAAGCUAUCCACUUUGAAACCAUCUAUAUUUUUCCAGUGCUUGAAAUACAGAAAAAAAGAGAACCACGCAAACAGGAUAAAUCUACAUAAAAAGGGAAGGCAGUUCUUAAGUGCAUGGACUAUAUUGUAUUGACAAGGUUUUUAUUUUCCCUUCCUGCCUAAUUCCUUGACACUUGCCCUUUGCCCUCUCUAUAUCAAUCACAUCAUGUUCUUCACAUCCAGAGUUCGACAAGCAUCCAGAAUUGCAGUUCCAAUCCCUGCCCUAGCCCAGUUAAUGUUCACCUGACCUUUGAGACUCUGGACAGGUAAUCCCUCUCCCCAAAAAAGCCUCUCAUUUCAUUACUCAAGCCAUGGUGACUCACUUUUAAUGAGUUAAACUAUUGUUAAACUAAAUUGUUAAACUAUUUGAAUUCACAUUACCUAUCAGGUUAACAUUUAACACUGACAAUCACUUCUUAGAACCUAACAUUUUUAAAAUUCCAUAACAUCUUUCUCCAGAUAAUCUACCUACUUUCGUGUUUCUCACCUUC
rnacentral:lncRNA from 1 species